rnacentral:rRNA from 4 species
UAAAGACGAUGACGUUGAUAGGCCGGGUGUGUAAGCGCAGCGAUGCGUUGAGCUAACCGGUACUAAUGAACCGUGAGGCUUAACCUUACAACGCCGAAG